rnacentral:rRNA from 1 species
CCUACGGGAGGCAGCAGUAGGGAAUAUUGCUCAAUGGGGGAAACCCUGAAGCAGCAACGCCGCGUGGAGGAUGAAGGUUUUCGGAUUGUAAACUCCUUUUGUUAGAGAAGAUAAUGACGGUAUCUAAUGAAUAAGCACCGGCUAACUCCGUGCCAGCAGCCGCGGUAAUACGGAGGGUGCAAGCGUUACUCGGAAUCACUGGGCGUAAAGGGCGCGUAGGCGGGAUAGCAAGUCAGAAGUGAAAUCCUAGGGCUUAACCAUAGAACUGCAUUUGAAACUGUUAUUCUAGAGUAUGGGAGAGGUAGGUGGAAUUCUUGGUGUAGCGGUGAAAUGCGUAGAGAUCAAGAGGAAUACUCAUUGCGAAGGCGGCCUACUGGACCAUAACUGACGCUGAGGCGCGAAAGCGUGGGGAGCAAACAGGAUUAGAUACCCGAGUAGUC